rnacentral:tRNA from 1 species
GCGGGUAUAGCUCAAUGGUAGAGCACUGGCCUUCCAAGCCAGAGACACGGGUUCGAUUCCCGUUACCCGCUCCA